AUUCAGUAUGUUUACGAUCAGGGAACUAUCAUCAAUAUCAUUCAGUCUGUUUACGAUCAGGGAACUAUCAUCAAUAUCAUUGUCUGUUUACGAUCAGGGAACUAUCAUCAAUAUCAUUCAGUAUGUUUACGAUCAGGGAACUAUCAUCAAUAUCAUUCAGUCUGUUUACGAUCAGGGAACUAUCAUCAAUAUCAUUCAGUAUGUUUACGAUCAGGGAACUAUCAUCAACAUCAUUCAGUAUGUUUACGAUCAGGGAACUAUCAUCAACAUCAUUCAGUAUGUUUACGAUCAGGGAACUAUCAUCAAUAUCAUUCAGUCUGUUUACGAUCAGGGAACUAUCAUCAAUAUCAUUGUCUGUUUACGAUCAGGGAACUAUCAUCAAUAUCAUUCAGUAUGUUUACGAUCAGGGAACUAUCAUCAAUAUCAUUCAGUCUGUUUACGAUCAGGGAACUAUCAUCAAUAUCAUUGUCUGUUUACGAUCAGGGAACUAUCAUAAAUAUCAUUCAGUCUGUUUACGAUCAGGGAACUAUCAUCAAUAUCAUUCAGUCUGUUUACGAUCAGGGAACUAUCAUCAAUAUCAUUCAGUAUGUUUACGAUCAGGGAACUAUCAUCAAUAUCAUUCAGUAUGUUUACGAUCAGGGAACUAUCAUCAACAUCAUUCAGUAUGUUUACGAUCAGGGAACUAUCAUCAACAUCAUUCAGUAUGUUUACGAUCAGGGAACUAUCAUCAACAUCAUUCAGUAUGUUUACGAUCUCUGUUUACGAUCAGGGAACUAUCAUAAAUAUCAUUCAGUCUGUUUACGAUCAGGGAACUAUCAUCAAUAUCAUUCAGUAUGUUUACGAUCAGGGAACUAUCAUCAAUAUCAUUCAGUAUGUUUACGAUCAGGGAACUAUCAUAAAUAUCAUUCAGUAUGUUUACGAUCAGGGAACUAUCAUCAAUAUCAUUCAGUAUGUUUACGAUCAGGGAACUAUCAUAAAUAUCAUUCAGUAUGUUUACGAUCAGGGAACUAUCAUCAAUAUCAUUCAGUCUGUUUACGAUCAGGGAACUAUCAUCAAUAUCAUUGUCUGUUUACGAUCAGGGAACUAUCAUCAAUAUCAUUCAGUCUGUUUACGAUCAGGGAACUAUCAUCAAUAUCAUUCAGUCUGUUUACGAUCAGGGAACUAUCAUCAACAUCAUUCAGUAUGUUUACGAUCAGGGAACUAUCAUCAAUAUCAUUCAGUAUGUUUACGAUCAGGGAACUAUCAUCAAUAUCAUUCAGUAUGUUUACGAUCAGGGAACUAUCAUCAAUAUCAUUCAGUAUGUUUACGAUCAGGGAACUAUCAUCAACAUCAUUCAGUCUGUUUACGAUCAGGGAACUAUCAUCAACAUCAUUCAGUAUGUUUACGAUCAGGGAACUAUCAUCAACAUCAUUCAGUAUGUUUACGAUCAGGGAACUAUCAUCAACAUCAUUCAGUAUGUUUACGAUCUCUGUUUACGAUCAGGGAACUAUCAUAAAUAUCAUUCAGUAUGUUUACGAUCUCUGUUUACGAUCAGGGAACUAUCAUAAAUAUCAUUCAUUCUGUUUACAAUCAGGGAACUAUCAUAAAUAUCAUUCAGUAAAACACCAGAGGAAGAAGAGGAAUCAUUAUUGAGAUUAAAACAGAGCGGCUAAACUGUUAAACUGCUAAAUGUUUUUAAGUCAAAAAAGGUUAAAUCCUGUAAGUUCAAAGGUAUCAUAAUAAUGCACUGAAAAAGAUGUAAACGAAGAAUUGCGGCACGUCAUGAAUGAAUGGAUAAUGUAUUGUGUUUAAGUUAGUUUCCUGGUUGUGUAGAAGUCUGGAAGACAGGUCUAGAAGAACGUUCAGCAGUGACAGACCUGGCCUAUGAACUUGCUGUAUUCCUGUUUGAUGCAGCUGUACACUGUGUUGUAGAAGUGCCUGUCUGUCGCCAUGAGAUCGGUGACUAUUUCGGUGUGGUCCAUUUUAGGCAUGAGGUACAGGGACACCUUGAUUGAAAGCAAGGUGAGCUGCUCAGAGAACCUCUGGGAAGAUGCCACCGGAACUAUGAUGUCACUCGUUCCGUGCAGCAAGCAGAAAGGUGGCAC
rnacentral:lncRNA from 1 species